UACGAAGGGGGCUAGCGUUGCUCGGAAUCACUGGGCGUAAAGCGCACGUAGGCGGAUCUUUAAGUCAGAGGUGAAAUCCCGGAGCUCAACUCCGGAACUGCCUUUGAUACUGAGGACCUUGAGUCCGGGAGAGGUGAGUGGAACUGCGAGUGUAGAGGUGAAGUUCGUAGAUAUUCGCAAGAACACCAGUGGCGAAGGCGGCUCACUGGCCCGGUACUGACGCUGAGGUGCGAAAGCGUGGGGAGCAAACAGG
rnacentral:rRNA from 1 species